CCAGGGAAGCCCUGACUUACUGAUUUUAAAGAGGUUACAGUCUCGUUGGAAACAGAACAACUGAAGAACGUUCUCAAAGCUCAAAAUGAACAGGUCCCACCAUAAGCAUUUGCACUGAAACCCCAGUCCUGGGUGAUCCUCAGAUGGGCAGCAGGGUCAGAUUAGCUGAGCCCUGGGUGUCCCAGCUGGGGUGACUAUAUAUGUAAGAGAAAGUGAAGUACCAGGUGCUAAUUUAACAGGGGAUGAGUUUGGUAAUGUAGUGAGAAUAAAGACCAGUUUUAGAUUUCUGGAAAGUGGGCAAUGGAAUAAUAAUUGUGACUAGGUGGUGAAUUGAUUGAUGAAUGUGGCCAGGGGCUGAAGACAGGAGUCCAACCAGCUAAGCUGGGUCAGUGCCUGCAUAGCUUGGGUGUCUGCUGAGAAAAUGGGGAAGACACAGCAACGUUAGAUCUUUUACAGAAUAGGAAUCUGCUGGGUUUCAUAAAGUAUUGAAUGUGAGAUAAGAAGGAGGAAGGGUAACCAAGGGAAAGGAAUUUUAAGCAUUUGGAAACCGUUGUUGUGUUGGUGUUGAUGACAGGCUGGGGACAGAGUACCUAUAAUAAGACAGAAGAGGGAUUCCGAGCUGCUUGUUUGGUGUGUUGUCUCCAUCCAGUAUCAGUAGAAUGUUCAUUUGGACAAUUAAGGUAUAGAAUUCGGGAGCAGUUAGGAGCAAAGGUUAGAUUUGUCAGUCUUGUGUGCUUUGGACGAGUUCUCACUCGGAAGGAAGACGCAGUUGAAAGUCAAGGGGAGGAUUAAGUCUGUGGUGGAGAGGGGAAAAGGGACGGCAGAGAAAUAGGGCCAUAGCGUGGCCUCAGACCCACAUCACUGCCGCCGCAGAGACCAUCAGAGGGGACGCCCCGUGGCCUCCCCAGGAAUGUUCUAACACAGCAGCGCAGAGAGAAGCCGUGCUGUAGGGAUGAGGGAGAGAAUUGCCAGGGGAAGAAACUUAUUGGAGUAGUUGAGAAAGGAGGACAAGGAAAACGCAGAUGCCAGGGGAAAAAGGAAGACGAAAGCAGGGUGAUGACUACCAUGAGGGCUUUUUCAGUUGGGAGAAGCCUGGGUGCUGAGGCACGAAGGGGGGUGGCAGUGAAGCCAGUGACCAAGUGUGAGCAGAGAAAGUCCCCAUGGGAGCAGCCUCUUGGAGGGAGGCCCAGGCACCACUUCAUUCUGCUGGUGACAGUUGCUGGCCGGAGCACUCUCAAAACAAAGAAAGGAUUUGAAGAAAGUCUGAAUCGUGUGUAAGGGAAAAGCACAUGUCCUGUGGUAGACAUGACAGCAAAGUCAGCUGUGGUCACGCAGAUAAUACUAUUUGAGUGUGUUCUGAAGUUCUAAAUCAAAAAAUUGUUUUUACUUUUCUCAUAUGUAUAUGAUGUCCCACUUGAAACCCCCAGUGCUUUUCUUUUUCCCCCAAUGCUGCCUUCUCCCCACUCCCUCCCGUUAUUGGUUCCCCAGGAGACAGACAGUAGCACCCAGGAAUGGUUAGGCUGUACACGGGGGAUGGCCCUUCCAGGAACGUUCAUAUGGCCAGCCAGUGAACGGCUUGUAUUUGAUAAAAAGUUUUCUUGCCAAAUAAAACUAUGCAAAGGUGAUUUUUGAGCUGUGGAGCAAGCUACUCUGAAUCUCAACAUCCAAGUUAUAAAUAAGGGAGUUGAAGUAUAGGGGUUGCUUUUAUCAUUCAGUAAUGUGUUGUGAAGCUGUAAAGAGGUCUGUUUUAGAAGUGACAAAACCAGUGCAGAUGAGCUAUAUCCCCAUAUGGAGAUGGAGCGUGAAGAGGGGUCAGAGAGAACUGAAUAAAGGAAUAAAGGCAAGACAGGAAGGGCAGGAAAGAGAUGGAAUGCAGCUGUAGCACCACAAGGUUACAGGCUAGGGACCCACCCUUAGAAAGGUGUAGGCCAAGGACAGGGAAUAAAGAGAAAACGGGUUCCUACUUCAGAAGCUGUAGGAUGACAGGAGGUGGUGACUUGAUGAUCAUUUUAACCGCAGGCCGGGCCUGGGACCCUAGGAGCCCAGGGAAGAGCGUCACUCUAGACUUAGAGAAGCCACAGCCUGGGCUUGGAGCUCUGCCGAGCCCUGGGCUCAGGGCCUGGAGAACCUUGCAAAAGGAUGGACUUGAAAAGGAUUGUUUAAGACUUGCAAUAAGUACAGAAAGAACUGAAUGCCGUGCAGUUGUGCCCGUGAAAAUCUUCAGCUGCGUGAAAUGCAUACCUGAGUGCAGAGUAGAGAGUUUGGUUUGAAUGGCCUGAUUGUGAUGCAAGGCAGGGAGAAGGUGAGGAAAAGGGAUGCUCCCAGGAAAGACGUAGGGCAGCGAGGGAAAUGUGGACACAGGGGUAUAGAAAAUCGACUGAGUUCCUUAAGGCGGUGCUCUUGAGUAAAGAAAGUCCCUCCUGCCCCCUUGCCCUUGGUGGCAGCAAAGAAACAGGGGCCCUAUUGGUUUUGGUCGACCACAUGCUGUUGGCCUCACUGAGAAACACAUCCACUGGUCAGCGUCUCACCUUCUCCAGCCAGGGCUUCAGGGCAGAAUGAGGCCCUGCCGCCCUAGACGUCCACUGUGUGUAAAGAGUCAGCUUCUCCCCUGGACACCUGGGGUGCUGCCUAGAAAGGCGACAGUGAUCAUUUUCUGUCUUCUGUGGUUCAGGUGGAGAACCCUCCUUGAGGAAGACUGGCAGUGCCUGGCCUUCUGAUAUAAAGUCGUCAGCCUACUGGGGUUCUGCCUAAAGAGGACUUUAGAAAGCAGCUGGCCUGAUGGGCACUCGGGAUUGGGAAUGUACAAAACAAGGUCUUACCCACCUUUGAAGCAUUUCCCAACUUUGCUGUACCCAUCAGAACCCCAAUUGUCCCCUCUCUUUACCCAAGAUGAAGUCUUUUAUUAGUAAACCAAAUCUAUGCUUCCAAAGGCUCACCCCUGUCAAAACUUUUAGUAUUUGGUUCCAGUCGUGUUGGCAUUAAGUUAGUUUCUAUGAAGAAAAUUUUGUUUUUGCCUUCCCACUUUCUCGUGGAAAUUAUUCCAUGAAAAUGACUUAGUGGGACUGAAAAUUCUCGGCUCAUCAUCCCGUAACAGCUUUGUCAUUUCUAUAGUGUACAUUGAAUAACCGAGUGAGUGAGUGAACUAAGCUUACGAUUAACAGUCUUUCACGUAUAGUGACACUCCGUUGAUCUUUACCCCAAUAUAUAAGGUGACCAGGUAGGAAUUAUUCUUACCAUCUUACAGUUGAGAAAACUUAGGCUCAUGACAAUUAAGAGACUCAACCAGGAACACAAAGUACAUACAUGGCAAAGUUGGGUGUAGAACCCAGGUCUCCCGAUCCCUGAUCCAGAACUUUUAAAGGGAAUCUAGAAGAAUGAUGGCCAGAUGCGUGGUGUGAGACAAAAUAAGACAACCAGUUGUGUCUUGGUGAGCACCUGGCAUAUAACACUGGGUCCUCUGACGUGGGUGUCCAGGAAAAGAAGAUGCCAUGGUAUCUUGACAUCUUCUUGAUAGCUUCCCAUCAAGAAGCUAACAGCUUAAUUGGAGGGAUCAAACUGCUACACCUAGAAACAAUUAGGUUUAAUGGAAGGUGAGUGAAGGGAAAGAAGAAAGUUCUGGAAUGCACCAAAAAAGUUCCUGGGGGAAGAAAUGAAACUGAAUCUCGGGCAGAGAUAGGACUGCAUAACCAUACGCCAACAAGAGCGAGGGUCUAGCAAGCAGGGCGUUCUGGCCAGGGGUCAUUUGGGUGCAGGCAGAAUGUGCAGGUCCUGUCAUAUCUAGAGAUGAGCUAAAGGUGAGGUCUGAAAGCUCCACAGAGGUCAGGCCCGAGGGUUUGGACCAGUAAAGUGAAAAAUUGAGUAGAUGAGGUCUGAAGGGACAUUUGGGUCAACUCGACCCACUGUAAACAGCGUGAUCAUGAGCUGAGAUGGCAAAGCAAACAUUGUCUAACAGAAGGCUCGGGGCUGAUGUAAUGCCUCCUGUGGAGACACCGUGGCAAGGGGGGCAGAGAGCAGUCUGGGGCUUCUGAUGGGGCAGAGCGUGGGUGAGGCCUGGAGGGACGGCCAAUAAAGGGGGUGGAGCUGAACCCCGAGGAUGUUUCAGAUUUGAAUCGGAGAGGGGAAGGCAUUUCAGGUGGAGAAGGCAACACGCACAAAAGUAUGGAGUAAGAAGGGAAGAUUCUGGCCUGAAAGAAGAAGUUAUGAAUUGAACAGAGAGAGACAGGAUGGGAUAAAGAGACGGGAAUGGCUGCUCAGGGGCUGGCAAGCAAUUAGAGUUUGGAUUGCAUGUGAUAAGCAAAUUGGUUCUGGAGGAAGGAAGUUGGUAUGAUGAAAGCCGUUCUGGGAAAACAAGUCUGGCAGCAUCUUAGAUGGGAUUGGAAGGGAGAAAGAUUAGAGGCAAACCAGCCAGGAGACUUGUCAGAAAUCUGGAUAAAGCCACGGGGGUCGUGGCACUGAGAAGGAAGAGGAAAAGGUGACUCUGAGGAACAAAGAAAGCAGAAACUUGCGAUUUAAGGGAAGAUGCCAUGGGCAGAGAUGACUUGAGGGUCCUAAUUUUGGAAAUGAAAAAAUAAUGGUUCUACUGGGAUAAAUGGGGUGGUCUGGAAAGGAACCCCAUUUCGAAGGGGGAAGGUGAUAGAUCAGUUUGAGGCAUCCAAAUAGAGAUACUUACGUCUUUGAGAAUAGGGACCUAGAGGCCGAGAGGUUGGGGCCGGGGAUGCAUCUGUCUGACGGCCAGUGCCUGACAGUGAACAACAGUGAACGAGUCCCACAGGAGGGGAUGGGGGUCCAGAGUGAAGAAGAGAGAGAAGGAAGAGGAGGCAGCAAAGGAAAGAGAAGAGCGAUGGGAGAAAUCAGUGGAGAGCCAGCAAAACACAUUAUAAAUCUAAAUGGAUUUCGAAAGCGAGUUGAAGGUUAUCAGGGUCUGUUAUCAAAGAGAGGGGAGGCUAAGGAUGGGAACUGAGGAGAAGGCCAGCGGGUCUGCGCAGAGGGAGGUCAGGGCUGGUAUGAGAGCAGUUUCCCUAGUUUCCUUAGGGUGGGCCUCCCCUGAAAUUAUCUGCCGGGCUCCAGACUCCCUGCCCCCAGCCUUCUCAGCUCUGACUGGUUCUCUGGGGGCCUGUCAGGAGAAUGCUCUUGCUCUAAAAUCUUAAUCAUAAGCUAUUAAUAGUUAUGUUUCUAAACUACAGAUCUAAUGAUACAUCUUAAAUUGGAUGGGUGAGUUACCUGGGCAGAGGAGGAGGGUCGUGUGGGCUCUCGGUCAGUGGGGAGAAGAGAAGCGUGCUGAAGAAAGGGAGGGCGGCGUACGCAGCACUGCUGACAAGGAGGAAGGAGGGACCUCCCUGGUGGUCCAGUGGUUAAGACCCCGAGCUUCCACCGCAGGGGGCGCAGGUUCCAUCCCUGGUCGGGGAACUAAGAUCCCACACGCGUCGCCACACGGCCAAAAA